GGGGCCAACGGAUGGAACUCCUUACCGAACGAUAGUUGUAUGUGUGUGUCCAGCAGAUUGUCUGAUGAAGAAGUAACAAGCAGAGAAACCUUUAUUGGCUUGGAGCUGAGGCGGGUACACAUGAUGAUUGAUAACGGUGAGGUCUGAGGUUCAAGUCCAUUCCGGCCUACCAAUUCCCUUGCAUGCUGGACACUGCCCUUUCACGGUUGCACCAGCAAACUCGAAUCCCCUCCGGCUUGCCUGAAAGCGAAUUGGCUCACUAAUCAUCACAUGAGAUCUUAGUAAAGGUCUCUGCAGACUGGUUGGGGCUAUGCUCUUUAACGAACAGCGCCUGCCUUAAAUUUGAAACGACAGCGCUAAACUCCUCUUUCCCUCCACCAUAUCGGUGUGAUUUUAUUGUACUUCAGACUAUCUUGUAAUCAGUAUGCUGCAAAGUAUUUUGCUCUUUAACAAUCUGGAACAAGCUGAAAAUUGAAAUGAUGAAUAAUCCUAGGAAUAUUCACGAAUCUCUCAAAAGCGCACAGCCGAUGAUGGAAACAUCUUCGGGUUGUGAGGUUAAGUGACUAAGCGUACACGGUGGUGGCCCUUGGCCAAUCGUACACGGUGGUUGCCUUGUCACCUUCAACCGACUAUUUUUUCCUUUCCGCCGCGC
rnacentral:misc_RNA from 1 species